AUUGAACGCUGGCGGCAGGCCUAACACAUGCAAGUCGAGCGGAUGGAGGGGGCUUGCUCCUGGAUUCAGCGGCGGACGGGUGAGUAAUGCCUAGGAAUCUGCCUGGUCGUGGGGGCUAACGUCCGGACACGGGCGCUAAUACCGCAUACGUCCUGAGGGAGAAAGUGGGGGAUCUUCGGACCUCACGCUAUCAGAUGAGCCUAGGUCGGAUUAGCUAGUUGGUGGGGUAAAGGCCUACCAAGGCGACGAUCCGUAACUGGUCUGAGAGGAUGAUCAGUCACACUGGAACUGAGACACGGUCCAGACUCCUACGGGAGGCAGCAGUGGGGAAUAUUGGACAAUGGGCGAAAGCCUGAUCCAGCCAUGCCGCGUGUGUGAAGAAGGUCUUCGGAUUGUAAAGCACUUUAAUUUGGGAGGAAGGGCAGUAAGUUAAUACCUUGCUGUUUUGACGUUACCAACAGAAUAAGCACCGGCUAACUUCGUG
rnacentral:rRNA from 1 species